rnacentral:rRNA from 1 species
UACAGGGGGGGCAAGUGUUACUCAUCUUGAUUGGGCGUAAAGAGCUCGUAGGCGGUUUGUCGCGUCUGCUGUGAAAACUCGGGGCUUAACUCCGGGCCUGCAGUGGGUACGGGCAGACUAGAGUGCGGUAGGGGAGACUGGAAUUCCUGGUGUAGCGGUGAAAUGCGCAGAUAUCAGGAGGAACACCGGUGGCGAAGGCGGGUCUCUGGGCCGUAACUGACGCUGAGGAGCGAAAGCGUGGGGAGCGAACAGG